GACGAACGCUGGCGGCGUGCCUAAUACAUGCAAGUAGAACGCUGACGGAGUAGCUUGCUUCUCUGGAUGAGUUGCGAACGGGUGAGUAACGCGUAGGUAACCUGCCUGGUAGCGGGGGAUAACUUUUGGAAACGAUAGCUAAUACCGCAUAAGAGUAGAUGUUGCAUGACAUUUGCUUGAAAGGUGCAAUUGCAUCACUACCAGAUGCAGCUGCGUUGUAUUCGCUUGUUGGGGGGGUAACCGCUCACCAAGGCGGCGAUACAUAGGCGACCUGAGAGGGUGGUCAGCCGCACUGGGACUGAGACACGGCCCAGACUCCCACAGGAAGGAGCAGGAGGGAAUCUUCGGCAAUGGACGGAAAUCUGACCGAACAACGCCGCGGGAGGGAAGAAGGGCUUCGGAUCGGAAAGGUCUGUUGUAAGGGAAGAACGAGUGUGAGAGUGGAAAGUUCACACUGUGACGGUAUCUUACCAGAAAGCAACGGCUAACUACGUG
rnacentral:rRNA from 1 species